UGCGUAGGCGGUUUUUAAGUCAGAUGUGAAAUCCUGUGGCUCAACCACAGAACUGCAUCUGAUACUGGAUUACUGGAGUGCGGAAGAGGUUGACGGAAUUACUAGUGUAGCGGUAGAAUGCGUAGAUAUUAGUAAGAAGACCGGUGGCGAAGGCGGUCAACUGGGACGUAACUGACGCUGAGGCACGAAAGCGUGGGGAGCAAACA
rnacentral:rRNA from 1 species